GGCCCAGAGGGCGCGUAGAGCCCACGACGGGCGCCCACUGGGAGAGGCGGGGAAAUGUCACUCCCAGCAGGCUCUGCGCGAGGCUGGGCGAGGGCCGUGGGCUGAGGCGUGGUGUCCGGGAGUGGCGGCCUGCCGGUCGGCAUGCUGUCCCCCGCCCCGCGGCGCCGCUGGCUUUGCCGCGUGGACUCGGAGCGCUCCCGCGAGGGCAGCGAGCACGCGCCGGCCGCUCUUUCCUCAGAACAGCCCGACACGGGGCUCGGUGACCGAGUGACGGCGGAGCUGCCAAGACCCGCGCAGGGAACCGGAGGCCAGUCGGGGCCUAGUGGAGCUAACAUGCGAGGGACGAACAGGCGUCUGUGGACGCGAGCGCGCGGCGACCGCAGCCGCGUUGCCCAAGGUCGUACCCUGGGGCAGUCCGCAUCCCAUGACCGGGGGCAGGCCUGUAGGGCCGCUGGGACCACGUGGGAAGCAGUACUUGCUCGCGGUUCCCCAGGGACCGGCCAGAGCUUUCCCGGCCUGCGUAGUCCUCUGCUUCCUCCGCCAGAUCCUGUUUACUGUUCACGGGUGUUGAUACCAGAUAAACUUCUUGUAGCCCAAACUCCACCUCAGCGUCUGCCUCAGGGAAAACCAUCCUGCCACAGUGUACCAGUCCAGAGAUCUUGAUCACUUAAGACAACCUGGAUGGGGCCGGCGCCGUGCUCAUUUGGCUAAUCCUCCACCUGUGGCGCCAGAAUCCCAUAUGGGCACCGGGUUCCAGUCCUGGUUUCUCCUCUUCCAGUCCAGCUAUCUGCUGUGGCCCGGGAAAGCAGUGGAGGAUGGCCCAAGUGCUUGGGCGCCUGCACCCGCGUGGGAGAACAAGAGGGGGCACCUGGCUCCUGGCUUCGGAUCGGCAUAGCUCCGGCCAUGGCAGCCAUUUGGGGGGGUGAACCAACAGAAGGAAGACCUUUCUCUCUGUCUCUCUCUCUGUCUGUAACUCUAUCUGUCAAAUAAAUAAAAAGACAACCUGGAGAAUAACACGUUAUUCCUUUCCAUCAGUGAGCAAGAGGUAGAGAAGACGCUGGUGAUAAUACUGGUGAUACACAUAUAGCUGCUCCAGAGUAGGAGAUAAACCACAGAAAUUCAAGGGCUUGCUGCAUCCUAAUAUUUUUAGAGGUUCAGUGAUCAAGUGUGCUCUAGGAAAUCCCUUCCAAAAGUAAAAGAAUUGUAUCUUGAACCUCCUACCAUUAAGAAAGCAAUAGUUCCUGAGCUGGUUCUUGCUACAAGUGCUGGAAGCAACAUAUUCCACACCUGGAAAUACUGUUCUGGCCCCAAUACUGGGGGAUCUGGGAGACUGUCAGAUCUAAAAAGAGCCCAGACAGGAAAAAUCUCAGCAGUACUUCCAGACUGUGAUGCCAGCUGUCCUACUGCCUGGGCCACAUGGCCUAGUAGUUAUGAGAACGGCAGGGAAUAAUGCAAUGUGGGGUUUCAGGCAGGUUUCAAGGGGGAGAUUUACAAGGUACGUUGUCAGGACUUCCGAAACAAUAGGAUCUUUCAGAGAGAGAGACAGAGAGAGAAAGGUCUUCCUUUGCCGUUGGUUCACCCUCCAAUGGCCGCCAUGGCCGGCACGCUGCGGCCGGUGCACUGCGCUGAUCCAAAGGCAGGAGCCAGGUGCUUCUCCUGGUCUCCCAUGGGGUGCAGGGCCCAAGCACUUGGGCCAUCCUCCACUGCACUCCCGGGCCACAGCAGAGAGCUGCCCCUUGUGACCCCCCACCCCAAGUUUGUGCUUGUGAAGUGACUCAUAGUCCCAACCCUUCAGAAUGAGUUGGGACUUGGAGCAGCAGCCCCAAACCUCUGAAGAGGGAAGGGGCUGGAGACAAGAGUUCAGUCAUAUGACCAAUAAUAUGCUCAAUCACAACCAUGUAAUGAAGCCUCAAUAAAAUCUAACACAAUGAGGUUUUGGGAGCUUCAGGGUCAGUGAACACACCGAUGUGCGGGGAGGGUUCCCUCAACACCUGUCCUACACACUGCUUCCAUGUGGCUGUUCCUGAGUUGUAUCCUUUAUAAUAAACCAGUAAUCCCAAGUAUAGCACUUUGAGGCAUUCUAGCAAACUCUCAGAUCCAGUGGCACAAAGAAUGGGUGCCAGGCAGGAAGGGGGGUUGACUACUACAAAUUUGUAAUUGGUUGCACAGAACCGUGGGUAGUCUGGGGUCCUUCCACUUGUGUCUGAUGCUUGAAGUGGGAGUAAUCUUGUGGGACUGAGUACUCAACUCAGAGCAUUAAGAAUUGAAGGACUUUGUCCUUAACUUGUGGAGUCCAUGCUAUCUCUGAGUAGUGCCAGAAUUUAACUGUAAGACACCAAGAUGGUUUUAGAGAAUAUGCUGGGAAACAACAUGAGGCGAGACUCAAGCAGACCAGGCAAAGACCAGCUGUGCUAUCCCCCAGCAUCCAUCCAUUCUUGUCCUAGUGUGAAUGUACUUUUCCUGCCUCAAACUCAUUUGCAGGCUUUCCAAAUUCCUUAUUCUCCAUAACUGCUUCUAACCAGAAAACUCUCACAGCCAAGUGUGACACAGGAUUAUGACCAUGGAGUACCCCAUCACUCAGAAGUAGCUUACCCAAGCAUGUUGGAAAGGCCCACUGAAGGCUGUUAGCCUGCCAGAUUAAUGUACCAUCAGUACGGAAUGCCAUUCCUCUCACAGCCAGAAUCUGCUGGCUUGAGAACCUAAGAGCUAAGAAGGAAUGGCUCCUUCUAUGGUCUGUCCCCUCUAGAACUCAUGGUGGAGAUUAAUCCCCAUCGUAAGGUAUUCAGAGAACUUAACCCAACUGUGGUGUUGAGAGAUGAGGCUUUUCAGAAAGGAUUAGAAUUAGAUAAGUGUAUCCCCCCCAUGACUGAGUCAUGAUGGCUUCAUAAAAAGAGAACACAUUCCCUGUCUCUUGCCAAGUGAUGCCCUGCACCACCUUAGGACGAUGCCAGCAAGAUGGCCACAACCAGAGGCAGUUUCUCAACCCUGGGUCAGAGCCAUGAACCAAAGUAAACCUCCUGGUCCCCCCCACCCCCACCCCAUUUAUCUGAAAGGCAAAGAGAGACACACAGAUUUCUCAUCAGUUGGCUCACUCCCCAAAUGCCAGCAACAGCUGGUGCUAGGACAGAGCAAAGCCAAGAGCUGAGAACUCAAAUCUGGGUCUCCCAUGUGGGUGUCAAGGACUCAAAUACUUGAAGCAUCACUUGCUGCCUCCCAGGCUUUGCAUUAUCAGGAAGCUGGGAACUUGAACCCAGGCUUUCUGAUAUGGGGCACAGAUGUACCAAAUGGUGUCUUAACUGAUAGGUCAAACACCCACCCCUGAAACUCUUCACAACUCACCCAAUCUGUGGCAUAGUCACUGGCAACAGAAAACAGACUAAGACAGCUCUUACUGUUACGUCAAGUAAGUCCUGAAGGAAUUCUUGCUUCCUUUCCUAUUACUUUGUGCUCUGUGGCCCCGUACAAGUAAUGCAUCCAUCAGAUAGGACACAAUGGCCCCCACUGAACUCAUAGUUCAGACUCCUGCCUGAACUAACAAACAGGAAUAGAGUAACUGCACUAGUUAGUGCUGUUGAUGCCAAGUUCCAAGAGGAAAGUGAGCGGCUGGUACAUACUGGGGACAGGAAACUUGUAUCUGUGUCUGGUGUCUUCACUGGGCACCUCUUGGUCCUUACUACUUUCUGCUUUGAUUGUAGAACAAGCAAAAAGGAAGUCCUCUAAAGGCAGGACAUUAAGGCCUCAAAUCUUGCCAGAAGGUGGAUUAGGUCAUCUGACCAGUGAUAUUGCUGGUUUGGGAUCAGAAAACAAGGUUCAGGUGAUGGAAGCAAGAGCCAGUCAAUACCAGUGAGAACCCUGUCACUAGUUCCAUAAAUAAAUACCAGCAUUUUUCAAUUCAGUGUUUGCAUUGAACAAUUUCUUCUUUCCCCUCCUCCCCUGUUUUGUAUGACCCGAGUGGUACAUUAACUUUACUGACUAGUUCAUAGAUGACCAAAUCACCAGGAGCUGACCCAGUCCCAAAGGUAAAGUCUAGCUCCUGGAGAGCCUAGCCUGUUGUGAUGAUGGCAACUUAUGAGCCUUAGAGAAAAGAUCAGAGCAUCUUGGGAACACUGGCUUUGUGGGAGGUAGGUGUGGUCUUCAUAAUGAACAUGGGUAGAAAGGUGAGAACAAACACUGAGAGGAACCAAGGGUAGAUGAGGCUGCUCAUCUGCCUGUGUGCUUUCAAGCUGCUUCUUGCCAGUUCUUCCCCUGAAAAAUAAGGAAGCUGACUUUUGCCAGGAACCUAUCCCCGAGGCUCCUUUCCCUAGUUUUAGGGAAUGGGAUGGCAAAUGGGAAAAGAUGUGCAUUUUGCUCCUUGUCACUCUGCCACAGGCAGCCUCUCUGGUAGCCGAUGCAUUUUCUCUGUGGGUUCAGCUCCCAUCAGAGGGGCACUGGCCUCCUCAAAGGAGUCCCAGCAACAACAUCAUGGUUCCUUCAGUCCCAGGGGACAUCUUGUAGCUGCUGCCACCCAUGGCAAUAGUUUGUGUGCUAUCUCGUGUUGCAGGUCUCCCAGUGUCAGAGGAACUGCUAGAGUCUGAAUGGGCUUUUCUCCUGAACUCAUGCACUUAAACCCCAAAGUUGUGGUUGGCAGUAGGUACUACAAAGAUGGACUUGAUCCAGUUAAGUUAUCCAGGAGGUAGGAAGUCCCUAUGGUCACUGGGGAUAUGCUGUUGAGAGAGGGUUGGUUGUGAACACUGAGGUGAGCCAAGCCUCUUUCUCUGCUUCCUUGCUCACUGGGCAGUUUUUCUCUGCAUGAGCUCGGCCAUUGCCAUCCUCCAGCCUCAUCAGAAGCCAGACCUAUGAGUGAGGCUGCCCAACUGCACACUGGGAGCUGCUGCUUCCUUCAUGAGUAACUUAUCUCAGGUAUUUGUUACAGCGACAAAACACUAACACAGUAAGUAACCAAACCUUUCUGUUGCACCAUCUCAAAUGGUUUCUGUUUUCCAGCCUGGACUCUGACACAAUACUCUGUUUCAUUAAGGCAUUUCAGGGUCAGACAUUAGCUGAUCAUAAUGUACUUUUCAAAUCCAUCAUUUAUAAAAACUUUCCAAUAACCACAUGCUAACUAGAUUUAAUGUUUUUAAAGAUUUUGCCAUAUUAGUCUGUGUAUAUGUAUACAUUUUUACAAAGGUGUCCAUAUAACUUUUUUAACUGAACCAUUUCAAAGCAAGUUGUAUAUGUUUUGGCUCCAUCCUUAAAUCAUUCAGCACAGAAACCUAAGAAAAACAUACCCUCUUACACAACCAUUAUCACAUCCAAGAAAAUUAACUAUAGUUCCUCUAAAAUCUGCUAUCCAGUACAGAUUAUAUUUACCUACUUGUACAUACAAUGUCUUUACAGCAGCUGGCCUUCGUCCAGUUUAGAAACCAAUCAAGUGUGCCCCACACUUCCUGCACCUUGGUCUCCUCUGACCUGGACUAGGCUGUGCACCUUGUUUUUGCUGACACCAUCUAUUGGAUGACGCUGAGCCAGUUACUUGUUGUCACUGGCCCUUCUUUGUUCACCUAUAAACUGGAGGCGAGAGUGAAGGCCUUGGUCAUGCUUGAGGGAAGCACUGGGCAAGAGUGCCCCGCAGGUGCUGCUGCACCUCAUGGACCUCAGCAGGAGGCAGGUUCUGAGCUGCAGUUAGUUUGACACACAGUUAAGAUAUGGAUGGCUAGAUCUCUGCAUUGUAAAACUCAAGAGUCUGAGGCUGGCACCGUAAAGGUAAAGCCGCCAUCUAUGGUGCCAGCAUCCCGUAUGAGCACCAGUAAGAGACCCAGCUACGCCACUUCUGAUCCAGCUCCCUGAUAAUGGCCUGGAAAAACAGUGGAGGAUGGCCCAGGUCCUUGAGCCCCUGCACCCACAUGGGAGACUUGGAGGAAGCUCCUGGCUCCUGGCUUCAGCCUGACCCAGCUCUGGCUGUUUUGGCCAUUUGGGGAGUGAACCAGUGGAUGGAAGAUCUCUCCCUCUCUCUGUGUUUCCUUCUCAGUCUGUAACUCUUUCUCCCCUCCCCUCCCCUCCCCUCCCCUCUACUUUCCUUUCCUAUUUAUCUGAAGGUCAGAGUUACACAGAGAAGAGAGGCAAAGAGAGGUCUUCCAUCCACUGGUUCACUCCCCAGAUGGCCGCAACGGCUACAGUUGCGCCAAUCCAAAGCCAAGAGCCAGGUGCUUCUUCCAGGUCUCCCACACGGGUGCAGGGGCCCAAGGACUGGGGCAUUUUUCACUGCUUUCCCAGGCCAUAGCAGAGGUGGAUAGGAAGCAGAGCGGCCCAGACUCGAACCAGCGCUCAUACGGGAUGCCAGUACUGCAGGCGGUGGCUUCACCCAUUACGCCACAGUGCCGGCCCCCUGUAACUCUUUCAAAUAAAUCUAAAAAAAAAAAAAAAAAAAAAAAAAAA